GGCACACCCGGAGAACUGAAACAUCUUAGUACCCGGAGGAAGAGAAAGAAAAUUCGAUUCCCUUAGUAGCGGCGAGCGAAACGGGAAGAGCCCAAACCAACAAGCUUGCUUGUUGGGGUUGUAGGACACUCUAUACGGAGUUACAAAGGACGACAUUAGACGAAUCAUCUGGAAAGAUGAAUCAAAGAAGGUAAUAAUCCUGUAGUCGAAAAUGUUGUCUCUCUUGAGUGGAUCCUGAGUACGACGGAGCACGUGAAAUUCCGUCGGAAUCUGGGAGGACCAUCUCCUAAGGCUAAAUACUCUCUAGUGACCGAUAGUGAACCAGUACCGUGAGGGAAAGGUGAAAAGCACCCCGGAAGGGGAGUGAAACAGAACCUGAAACCGUGUGCUUACAAGUAGUCAGAGCCCGUUAAUGGGUGAUGGCGUGCCUUUUGUAGAAUGAACCGGCGAGUUACGAUUUGAUGCAAGGUUAAGCAGUAAAUGUGGAGCCGUAGCGAAAGCGAGUCUGAAUAGGGCGUUUAGUAUUUGGUCGUAGACCCGAAACCAGGUGAUCUACCCUUGGUCAGGUUGAAGUUCAGGUAACACUGAAUGGAGGACCGAACCGACUUACGUUGAAAAGUGAGCGGAUGAACUGAGGGUAGCGGAGAAAUUCCAAUCGAACCUGGAGAUAGCUGGUUCUCUCCGAAAUAGCUUUAGGGCUAGCCUCAAGUGAUGAUUAUUGGAGGUAGAGCACUGUUUGGACGAGGGGCCCCUCUCGGGUUACCGAAUUCAGACAAACUCCGAAUGCCAAUUAAUUUAACUUGGGAGUCAGAACAUGGGUGAUAAGGUCCGUGUUCGAAAGGGAAACAGCCCAGACCACCAGCUAAGGUCCCAAAAUAUAUGUUAAGUGGAAAAGGAUGUGGCGUUGCCCAGACAACUAGGAUGUUGGCUUAGAAGCAGCCAUCAUUUAAAGAGUGCGUAAUAGCUCACUAGUCGAGUGACACUGCGCCGAAAAUGUACCGGGGCUAAACAUAUUACCGAAGCUGUGGAUUGUCCUUUGGACAAUGGUAGGAGAGCGUUCUAAGGGCGUUGAAGCAUGAUCGUAAGGACAUGUGGAGCGCUUAGAAGUGAGAAUGCCGGUGUGAGUAGCGAAAGACGGGUGAGAAUCCCGUCCACCGAUUGACUAAGGUUUCCAGAGGAAGGCUCGUCCGCUCUGGGUUAGUCGGGUCCUAAGCUGAGGCCGACAGGCGUAGGCGAUGGAUAACAGGUUGAUAUUCCUGUACCACCUAUAAUCGUUUUAAUCGAUGGGGGGACGCAGUAGGAUAGGCGAAGCGUGCGAUUGGAUUGCACGUCUAAGCAGUAAGGCUGAGUAUUAGGCAAAUCCGGUACUCGUUAAGGCUGAGCUGUGAUGGGGAGAAGACAUUGUGUCUUCGAGUCGUUGAUUUCACACUGCCGAGAAAAGCCUCUAGAUAGAAAAUAGGUGCCCGUACCGCAAACCGACACAGGUAGUCAAGAUGAGAAUUCUAAGGUGAGCGAGCGAACUCUCGUUAAGGAACUCGGCAAAAUGACCCCGUAACUUCGGGAGAAGGGGUGCUCUUUAGGGUUAACGCCCAGAAGAGCCGCAGUGAAUAGGCCCAAGCGACUGUUUAUCAAAAACACAGGUCUCUGCUAAACCGUAAGGUGAUGUAUAGGGGCUGACGCCUGCCCGGUGCUGGAAGGUUAAGAGGAGUGGUUAGCUUCUGCGAAGCUACGAAUCGAAGCCCCAGUAAACGGCGGCCGUAACUAUAACGGUCCUAAGGUAGCGAAAUUCCUUGUCGGGUAAGUUCCGACCCGCACGAAAGGCGUAACGAUUUGGGCACUGUCUCAACGAGAGACUCGGUGAAAUCAUAGUACCUGUGAAGAUGCAGGUUACCCGCGACAGGACGGAAAGACCCCGUGGAGCUUUACUGUAGCCUGAUAUUGAAAUUCGGCACAGCUUGUACAGGAUAGGUAGGAGCCUUUGAAACGUGAGCGCUAGCUUACGUGGAGGCGCUGGUGGGAUACUACCCUAGCUGUGUUGGCUUUCUAACCCGCACCACUUAUCGUGGUGGGAGACAGUGUCAGGCGGGCAGUUUGACUGGGGCGGUCGCCUCCUAAAAGGUAACGGAGGCGCUCAAAGGUUCCCUCAGAAUGGUUGGAAAUCAUUCAUAGAGUGUAAAGGCAUAAGGGAGCUUGACUGCGAGACCUACAAGUCGAGCAGGGUCGAAAGACGGACUUAGUGAUCCGGUGGUUCCGCAUGGAAGGGCCAUCGCUCAACGGAUAAAAGCUACCCCGGGGAUAACAGGCUUAUCUCCCCCAAGAGUUCACAUCGACGGGGAGGUUUGGCACCUCGAUGUCGGCUCAUCGCAUCCUGGGGCUGUAGUCGGUCCCAAGGGUUGGGCUGUUCGCCCAUUAAAGCGGUACGCGAGCUGGGUUCAGAACGUCGUGAGACAGUUCGGUCCCUAUCCGUCGUGGGCGUAGGAAAUUUGAGAGGAGCUGUCCUUAGUACGAGAGGACCGGGAUGGACAUACCUCUGGUGUACCAGUUGUCGUGCCAACGGCAUAGCUGGGUAGCUAUGUGUGGACGGGAUAAGUGCUGAAAGCAUCUAAGCAUGAAGCCCCCCUCAAGAUGAGAUUUCCCAACUUCGGUUAUAAGAUCCCUCAAAGAUGAUGAGGUUAAUAGGUUCGAGGUGGAAGCAUGGUGACAUGUGGAGCUGACGAAUACUAAUCGAUCGAAGACUUAAUCAA
rnacentral:rRNA from 1 species